rnacentral:lncRNA from 12 species
CUUCAUUUUACCUCUCAUCAUCUAAGUGCAGCUGGAAGAUGUAAGAGUUCCAAGAACUAUUGUAACAACUACUGAAAUCCAUUAUUUACAAAUCAGAUACUCAAAGAACACAUUCAUCUGCUCUUAGAAGAGAAAGAUUGCGAUUACUUUCCAGCUGUUGCACAGGUCUAGCACAGCCCUUGCCGGUUUUUCCUUUUCUGCUUUUGAGUAUCUGGGGCUCAUGUCUUCUGGUAGCAUAUUCCCAAUGUAAGUUCGAUGCUCCUGGUAUGUUCUCGGACAUUCAACACAUGAAGAAAAGCAUUCUACAAUUUCCAUGUGGCACAAAUUUGGAAUGUUUCAUUUGAAAGUUCUGCUAUAUCUCUACUGGGAGAAAUGAUUUUAGAAGAAAUCAUACAUUGAUUGAAGAACUAGCAAAUCAUAUGACCAGCUUUUUCCAAGUUUAUAUUAUUCAUGCCACACCUGAACUCCACAUGGUUUUCAUGGCCAUUUGAUAAAAAGUUUAGAUAAUUGCCCCCCAACCAAAAACCUACCAGAAGAGAGAAUGUCAGUACUCCUUUCUGCCAUUCGCCCAUUUAUUUCCUCUUUUGGGAAGCUAUGAGAGUACCUACUUUUCAUUUCAGAAUUAAAAUUCAAAAUAUGAUGACAUUUUCUUUGUGUUGUAUUAACGCACAUGCCAGAAACUUUUCAGGUUAUGGGUCACCCAGAUUUGACAAUUGCGAUCAAUCCUAAAAAUAUCUAUACAGAACAUUCCUCUGUUUAUUUCUUAUAUUGCUGACUUCCUGAAAACAGAGGCAGUCGUUAUAGUAGAGGUUGCAUUUAAGCAAGAGAAAUUACCAAGCUUAUGGAAACCUACCACCCCGAGGAUUGCUGGCAAGUCUGUACUUCCAUUUUUAUUUAUUUAUUUUUUUACACUUUGCAGUUCAGUCCAAAGUUGCCUAGUCAAAUGUAAUCUUUGUGCUUUCAAAUAAAUUCAAACAGCUUGCUACUGUUUGUCA